UAGUAAAAUUUUAGGAACAUUGGUCAUAGCUACUUAAUACCUGAAGAAAUCUUGCCAUCUCAGUUCCAAUUGGUAUUUAGCUACAUCAAGUUUUAGGUCCUAUUGUUAAAUUUUAUUUUUAACUUUAUUCAGUUUAAUUGAUUAUAAAAUAACCUGGACUGUAAGAAUAAGCCUGUGGUUAAAUUUCUUGAAACUACUAGAGCCUCUGUUUCAAUGAAUUUCCUAUGGUCAGAAGUUAUUAAAUUAAUACUGGAGAUUUGGUACGUCUUAUAAUCUUGACAUCUACUCAGGCCCAGUGGAGUGAUGUACAGUGAAACAGUGUCCUAUGUUGG
rnacentral:lncRNA from 1 species